rnacentral:lncRNA from 1 species
GGUUAAUGAGGAGAUGCGCUUACAAAACCGGCGAAACAUAUUGUACCGGUCCAACGGACGAACGGAAAGACGGACUUCUUUAUCACUAUAACCCCCGUUUGACAAAGUGGCGUACAAUUGAGUGUCAAAGAGACAGCUCUACAUCUUAAUCAAAGUGAAGGAACUGUGAUCAAUUAUAGGCUACAGUACGGCCUCGAAUGUGUGUAAAUACAUGCAUUUUUAUAUAACAACUAAAUCUGUGUGUUUGUACAAUUUUAGGUAUGACGGAGGACAUUUCUGAAACUUAUAUACUAGUAUACAUCAAACCUCCCUCUUAUUUUAGCAACAUUUAAACAUCCUUAUACUUAAUGUAGUAAGUCGAGUACACC